GUCUGGGGCAGUGCCAGACUGUGCUCUAUAAGAGGCUGCUCUCGGCCGUGCUCUUCCUUUCUGCUCUAUCCUUUCUGAGGGAUGCCGUUGGGUGAUCCCCACUUUCCUUGCUUGCAGUAGUUAUCUCAUAUGGAGGAGGGAGGAGCAUUCCUGCCUCCAAAGCAGGGACACCGGUGCCUUUGGUGCUGGUGCGUAAGGCGUACUUUCUCUGCGGAUGGAGAACGGAGUCCACCAAAGACAAAGUACUGAAGAUGAGUGAUUGAGAAAUAAGUAGCAGCCUCUCUUGUAUGGAAUAGAUUGAAAGGAAUGUUC